GACGAACGCUGGCGGCGUGCUUAACACAUGCAAGUCGAACGGAAAGGCCCUGCUUUUGUGGGGUGCUCGAGUGGCGAACGGGUGAGUAACACGUGAGUAACCUGCCCUUGACUUUGGGAUAACUUCAGGAAACUGGGGCUAAUACCGGAUAGGAGCUCCUGCUGCAUGGUGGGGGUUGGAAAGUUUCGGCGGUUGGGGAUGGACUCGCGGCUUAUCAGCUUGUUGGUGGGGUAGUGGCUUACCAAGGCUUUGACGGGUAGCCGGCCUGAGAGGGUGACCGGCCACAUUGGGACUGAGAUACGGCCCAGACUCCUACGGGAGGCAGCAGUGGGGAAUAUUGCACAAUGGGCGGAAGCCGGAUGCAGCAACGCCGCGGGCGGGAGGACGGCCUUCGGGUUGUAAACCGCUUUCGCCUGUGACGAAGCGUGAGUGACGGUAAUGGGUAAAGAAGCACCGGCUAACUACGUGC
rnacentral:rRNA from 1 species